UACGGAGGGGGCGAGCGUUGUCCGGAUUUAUUGGGCGUAAAGCGCGCGCAGGUGGUGCGGUAAGUCUGGCGUGAAAUCUCCCGGCUCAACUGGGAGGGUGCGGUGGAGACUGCCGGACUGGAGGCACUCAGAGGCCGGUGGAAUUCCCGGUGUAGUGGUGAAAUGCGUAGAGAUCGGGAGGAACACCAGUGGCGAAGGCGGCCGGCUGGGGGUGCCCUGACGCUGAGGCGCGAAAGCGUGGGGAGCGAACCGG
rnacentral:rRNA from 1 species